rnacentral:rRNA from 1 species
AACGAACGCUGGCGGCAGGCUUAACACAUGCAAGUCGAGCGCCCCGCAAGGGGAGCGGCAGACGGGUGAGUAACGCGUGGGAAUCUACCCAUCUCUACGGAAUAACGCAUGGAAACGUGUGCUAAUACCGUAUACGUCCUUCGGGAGAAAGAUUUAUCGGGAGAUGGAUGAGCCCGCGUUGGAUUGGCUAGUUGGUGGGGUAAAGGCCUACCAAGGCGACGAUCCAUAGCGGGUCUGAGGGGAUGAUCAGCCACACUGGGACUGAGACACGGCCCAGACUCCUACGGGAGGCAGCAGUGGGGAAUAUUGGACAAGGGGCGCAAGCCUGAUCCAGCCAUGCCGCGUGGGUGAUGAAGGCCCUAUGGUUGUAAAGCUCUUUCACCGGUGAAGAUAAUGACGGUAACCGGAGAAGAAGCCCCGGCUAACUUCGUGCCAGCCGCCGCCGUAACAC